CCCCGCGUGCGCGGGCCGGGCGCACGGAGCGGGAAAUGCGGCCGCAUCCCGGAGUGGAGGCCGGGGACCUCGCCCUCCCCGGCGGAAGCCCGAGGGGUCUCGGUGUCCUCAAGCGGCAGCUGAGGCCAACCUCUGCGCGCAGGACCGCGAAGCCUGGCAGCCGCGUCGGCUCCUGCCGGGUGUUGUCUUGCGUUAGUUACUCCCGAGCUUUCCCGCUUCCCAGCCCCGUGAAUACCGCCUGCACUUCUCAGAAGAGCAGCCUGACGGUGGCUCCGGCACGCGCUUGCAGUCCUGCGUUUGCGCCGCUAGGGGGAGAGCCCCUCGGGUUUGGGCCCGAGCGAAGCUUGGCCGCGUUUGCAGCCCUCGAGGGAAACUGCCCAGUCCUGAGGGCCGGGCGAAAAGCCUCCAGCUUAUGAUGCCGGGAACGGACCGCCUGGGUUUCCACCCCCCUGCCUCCCGCUUCUCAAUUCUGUAAAUAUUUAUUCUGCAUGUGUUCCAGACCUGGCCCUUGUCCUCCCAGAACUCACAGCCCCCGGAGCAAACAGCACUCCUUAUAAAAAUGAAUGAGUGAAUAAAUAGCUACAAGAAAACCACAGAAGCAGGGCUAUGACCCAGAAGGAUAACAGGAGAGAAGGUGAACAGGCAGCCAGCUGGUUCAGCACAUCAAGUCGCAGAACGGAAGACCACCAAGAAAGAAGCGGUCCAAUUCUGUAAGGCUUAAUAAUCUCUUCCUGUUUCAGGGCAAAAUGAAUUAUGCUCCAUCUUCUUUGCUGCUUAAACUUGUGUUAGUUCUACCAACGUACUAACCAGAAGAGUGCCAAAAACUGCACUGGUGAGGAAUGUGAACUUUUUGAAUUGCCACGGCUUCCCUGGAGGUUCACGGAAUGAUGGAAAAAAUAGGACACUGUUAUGAAGCCAAGCUCCUUCAUGAAGUACUUUGCUGAAUUUCAAGGCAAAAAAAGUACCAUUCAUUUUUUUUCUGCAACUGGCUGGAUUUUUAAACUAUAUCCAUCACUCACUGUAAUCACAGGAAAUCAGCUCAAAAACUUAUUCUUGCGUCUAUUUUUUCCCCUGAGGCCACAAUACCUAUAAAAUGAAAUGCUGAUGUAUUAAUACCAUGUUUUAGCGGUUUCUAACAUACAGUCAAAAUCAAUCAAUGCUUCCCAGAGUUACUGCACAAGAAAUACACCAACAAUUAAACAGAGUGUUAAGUAUUUGAUCUGCAAGAGACCUUACAAGGUUAGAUCAAUUUACUUUCCAAAGCUGGUUGUUUUUGCAUAAAAUGUACUCAUGAUCCUAUGUCUUCAUGUCAGCCUUACUGAUACGAAUUAAGACUUACUAGAACACACACCCACAAAUGGACUUUUUUUUAAAGAAUCAAAGUUUCCUUUUUAUUCCUUUAGCACACAACUUCACUGAUCAUCUUACUAGAAUAACUUUCAAAAGUGAUUGCUGUGAAUAUCAUUGAAGUCACAUUUAUGGAGCGAAUUUCCCAAAAACCAGACCAUGCAAAAAUUGAAAACAGUUUGAAAAGAAUCAUAAAAAAAUUACUUAGCUCAAAUCUUUUAUUUCACAGAUAUAGAAACUAAAACUGUUGUGAAGUUAACAGUGUUUGCCUCUAAAGUCAACUGCUAGUUAAUUAAUGAAAAAAGGACCGAGAUCCAUGUAUGUUAAGACCAGGUUCUUUCUCCUGAACUGAACUUCCCUAUAAAAUAUACAAUAAAUUAUAUAUGUGUGUGUGUA